rnacentral:tRNA from 1 species
AUAAAUAAAACCAAAAAGAGGUAUAAUACUGUUAAUAUUAUUAGUGAAUAU